GUUCUCCCUCCCACAGCACAUACACUAAAAUUGGAGCAAUGCAGAAAAGAUUAGCGUGGCCGCUGCGCAAGAAUGCCAUGCAGAUUCGUGAAGCAGCACUAACUACA